rnacentral:rRNA from 1 species
AUACGGAGGAUGCGAGCGUUAUCCGGAUUUAUUGGGUUUAAAGGGUGCGUAGGCGGUUUUUUAAGUCAGCGGUGAAACGCAAGGGCUCAACCCUUGACCUGCCGUUGAAACUGGAGGACUUGAAUGCGGAUGCUGUGGGAGGAAUGUGUGGUGUAGCGGUGAAAUGCAUAGAUAUCACACAGAACACCGAUUGCGAAGGCAUCUCACAAAUCCGUGAUUGACGCUGAGGCACGAAAGUGUGGGGAUCAAACAGGAUUAGAUACCCUGGUAGUCCACACUGUAAACGAUGAUGACUCGCUGUCGGCGAUAUACAGUCGGUGGCCAAGCGAAAGCGAUAAGUCAUCCACCUGGGGAGUACGACCGCAAGGUUGAAACUCAAAUGAAUUGACGGGG